rnacentral:piRNA from 1 species
UGAAACUGUAAGCCAACCCCAAUUAAAUGUU